CCUCAAGAGACUGAAGAGUGCUAAGAGAUGCAGCAAGAUCAUCAGCCCAAAUGUUGCGUCCAUCUACAACCCCAGCGAAGAGGUACUUCCCAGAGGGGAAGCUGCUCCUGAUAAGAUCAAGGGUCUUGGCUCCACGGAUAAGAUCGAAACCGUAAGCAGUCACCCCACUCAAUGACGUGAGGGUCCUGCAUUUCCAAAAGAAAUUUGUUUUCAGUUUUCUUUCUCAACAAUAUUACUCUGAAAGGAAGACCAUGGUGAAGAUUAUGUUAAAAAUAAAAAAAACAUACUUGUAGGACUCAGCAGGAAUGUCAGCAAAGUAGGUCUCGAUAAGCACAUUCAAUCCAGAGAAUGCUGACUCUAGUUCAGCAUAUGCUGAAGAGAAGGCAGCCAAUUCAUGAGCAUCAAGGUCUUUAACAAGGGUAGGCUCAUCAAACUGAAUCCAUGAAGCACCGGCCGCCUUCAGCUCAGCAACAACCUCCCUGUA
rnacentral:lncRNA from 1 species